rnacentral:rRNA from 1 species
CCUUUGUACACACCGCCCGUCGCUACUACCGAUUGAAUGGUUCAGUGAGGCUUUCGGACUGGCCCAGGGAGGUCGGCAACGACCACCCAGGGCCGGAAAGUUAUCCAAACUCGAUCAUUUAGAGG